UAUUUUCUAGUAAUUUUUGGGAAUCCAUGUGUUCCGGAACAAUACAGGAUAAAAACUGUUGGGUUACAAUAGUUAACUUAAACAAGAGCACUGCCCUUUAUGUACUCUGUCAAUGCCAGAGCAACCAGACCUAACAUAGCAAAUCUACCAUUCCACAUCUCAGCAUCAGAUGUCAUUAGUCCCCCUGAUUUUGUUUCAACACUAACUCCUUUGAAAAGUGGCACCAAAGAUGCCAGUGUUAGUAGCACACUUGUUCCCAGGAACCAGGGAACACCGCCAUUAGAUAUCUGCGAAAACACGUCCUGGCCGUUGGAUACUUCCACUGCCAUUGCUGCAACAAAUCCGAUCAUCGCGAGCCUUCCGUUGAUUCUUUCUGGUGCAGGUCCGCUGAAUGCUAGUACAUCAAAAAAGCUUGUGCUUGCCUGUCCAUGCAAAUGGAUACUCCUUUUGUUAAUUUAGAUAUCAAUUACUCCCUCCGUCCCGGUCAAUAGUAUACAUUGGGGAACGGGGGCGUGGCACGGACUUUAAUGCUUCAAUAUAGUAUAGUUCUGUAGAUUAUUUUUAAAAUUUUCUUUUUCUGUAUAAAAGUAUAAAUGUUAUACUUUUAUACAAAAAAAGAAAAUCUUAAAAAUAAGUUGUAGAACUAUGUUUUAUAAGUGCGUUAAAAAGCGUGUCGAGCAGUGAAAAAGAAACGUAUACAAUUGACUGGGACAAAGGGAGUACUACUAUAUAUACCUUUUGAGCUUUAUAUUGAAACCAACAAUAUUUUGUAGGAGUAAUUAAUUACCUUGGGUGUAGGAGGCGGGCUUGAUUCCUCCUUCCGGCCAUCCUAAUUACAUAGUGAAAACAAACAAACAACUUAAUCAAAGCCCCGGGGCUAAACUUAUUUUUCACAAAUAAGGGUUUAUCGGGAGAAAAGUACACAAAAUUCUACUUUUUUUUGAAAUAAGUCAUUUUUUUGCCAAAUAACCAAUAUGAAACCCCUGUUUAACAUUUAUAUCCAAAAAUAUUAUAAGAAAAUACAAUUUUUUAUAAAAAAAAUAAGCCCUUAAAUUUAAUGAGUGAAAUAUGCCACACUGGGUCUAUAUAGUAUUAAGUAUUUAUAUAAUGAAGACAUGCACUACCUUUGCCAUGCACCUGGUUCGAAGGCUAUAAGCACUCCUGGAGAGUGAUGGUGCAUAGUUGGCCGGAACCAAAUUCACCCUUCUUCCGGUGAUCGCCGUUGAUGCAGGAGAUGCUAGGAUCGAUUGCAUGACGGUUGAAGUGGCCAUUGUGAAAUACUGAUACGUAUAUGAUGAGUUGCUUCAAGAUUUGAUCACAGGAUCAAGAACUUGCUUUGUAAAUGCUGAUGGGAUGCUUUAUUUCUCCAGGGAGAUGAAUGUACUUAUAGAAGAAGAGAGCAUGAACAAGUGAAUUUGGUGAUUUUGGUCUCCACGUUACACAAUUUAGGGUUAGUGAUGUGCACUGAGAUGAGGCCACAAUUUUUUGGAAGUAGGUGACGUGGGUGUGUUCCAGCCAGAAGGAAGUGCUCCCAUGAAUCUGUGGCCUGUAGUGUAAAAUGUCAUUAUUCUGUUAGGUUUCAUAAUUGAUGUAGUGGGAAAAGUACCUAUAACUACUGCGUGUCACCAUACAAGGACAGGAAACAAACGAGUCGACAACCACCUAAACUCAUCGACCCAGGAUCUAAGGAAGAGGUUCGGGGUCACGUGUCUCUUUUAAAUUUAUUUUUUUUACAUUUUUUCAUCAUUUUAAAUUUGGUAAAAUUAUAAAAAUUUCCUAAAAAAUUUAAAAAUAUAUAGAUGUUUUUAGAAAAUUUACUUCGCGCCCCCUUAACAUUUGUGUGCUAGAUCCGCUCCUGGACCCACAACUUAUGUCCCAUCGACUGAGGUGCAUAAAUUCAACUUCAUCAAAAGACACGGGGUUAGGUAGACUAGCAUGCUCGAUAAAUACAAAUGUGUUAACAGUUCUAUUCUCGUUCGGACAUCGAAUAUGGGAAAACAAAAACUGAAGUCCAUGUAGAAUUUUUAAUAUGAAUUAUAUUGAAAAUUAUUUAAUUCUCUCAAAAUUUUUAUAUUAUCCGGGCGAGAGCUUAAUUGAAUUAUAUUAUGCCGGGGCUACUUCAUAAGUCAUGUUUAUGCUUAGAAGUUCGUUGACAUUAUAUAAUUUACAUACAUUUUCAUUAAUAUUAUAAAAAUCUAUAAAAUACAUAAUAUUGAGCAUUCUUUUUGUUUGUUUACUUCGUUUCAUACAUUUUCAAAGAUAUAGAAAAACAAUAUCUUUUGUUUACACAGUAUAUUAUUUUUUGAAAAUUAUGUUUUUUUUAAAAAAAAUUAUGUAGUGCAUCUGGACUCAUAAAGGUAAAAACGGACCAGGUUGAAAAUUACUCACUAGUCCAUAUGUCUUGUUUUGAUUAUCUCAUAGUCAAAUCGAUCGAAUUUCGACCACAAAUUACAUAAAUUAUAUAUUUAUUAAAAAUUUAAAAUUUAUAUCAACGAAAAAUAGAUCUAAUAUACUUUAAAAUAUAUUUUUCAGUUUUUGAGAUGAUUAAUAAUUUCAUUUUAAUUAUCGAUCAUACAAUAUUCAAAACAAGACGCGAGAUGGAGAGAGUAGUUUCUUAUGUGUUUGGAAUCAUUCGGAUUCCAAACAGAACGAUUACUUCAUACACGUGUUACGUGUAUAUAUUACUGUAUAACUUUAGUACAAUUCUAAAUUUAAAUAUAAGUUAUUUUAAAAGUUAAAAAAUUUAGAAUGUAUAUAACAUAAAUAAUUUUUAAGCACGUGAGUUUUGAUUAAUUAAUGGACGACAUAUAUAUUUAACUUUUUCAAUUUAUUGUAUGGUCACUACUGUACAUAUAUUUAAUUUUCUUUUUUUUUAAAAAAAUAUUUAAUUUUCUUUUAAUCAUUGUUCUUAAAUACGACAGAUCUAAUAGUGUUUGUUUAGAGACAAAGAUUUGCAAAAAAAGACAUAUCAUAACUUAGAUUUUAGAAAAAUGACAUCCAUUAAAUUGCCUAUUCUAAUAGUGAUUAUUUAGAGACAAAGAUUUGAAAAAAAAAAAAAAAAAAACCAUAACUUAGAUUUUAGAAAAAUGACAUCCAUUAAAUUGCCUAAUAACAGAAUCUUUUGAGGUUAAAAUAAAAACAAAUAAGUGGCUUCGCCCGGGCUCGAACCGGGGACCGUCUGUGUGUUAGACAGACGUGAUAACCAACUACACCACGAAACCAUGAUGUUCUGCAAUUUCAGAUUCUAUAAGACGUCCUGGUGCCAGUUACUUACACUGAUACAUACAGCGCAAAGAGUUUAAUCUGACUCCUGAUUGUUCGGUUAAAUACACAAAAAAAAUGGAGAUAUUGAUGCAUAUAAUUCAUUUCGUUUAAUCUGAUAUAUAUAGAGUAUUGCAGCUGGUAAAUACUCGAUUAACAAUACAUGUUUUUUUUUUCCUGAUAAUUUGGAUUUAUAUAUCUUACAAAUGAGUAUAAUUCUAUUACUUUUCGGUAAAACUUCCGGAGAACACAUGUGUUUGGGGACAAUCCGGGAUAAACCCAUCACUUGGGAAAUGACGCUCAAUGAUACAUGUAAUUUUUAAUUACACCUGUUUAACUUAAACAAGAGCACUGCCCUUGAUGUACUCUGUAAAGGCCAGAGCUACCAGACCUAACAUAGCAAAUCUACCAUUCCACAUCUCAGCAUCAGAUGUCAUUAGUCCCCCUGAUUUUGUUUCAACACUAACUCCUUUGAAAAGUGGCACCAAAGAUGC
rnacentral:lncRNA from 1 species